rnacentral:rRNA from 1 species
CUGGUGUUCGGGUUGUCAUGCCAAUGGCACUGCCCGGUAGCUAAAUGCGGAAAAGAUAAGUGCUGAAAGCAUCUAAGCACGAAACUUGCCCCGAGAUGAGUUCUCCCUGACCCUUUAAGGGUCCUGAAGGAACGUUGAAGACGACGACGUUGAUAGGUCGGGUGUGUAAGCGCAGCGAUGCGUUGAGCUAACCGAUACUAAUGAACCGUGAGGCUUAACCUU